rnacentral:rRNA from 1 species
GGGUGCGAUCAUACCAGCAUUAAUUCACCGGAUCCCAUCAGAGCUCUGCAAUUAAACGUGCUUAGGCUAGAGUAGUACUGGGAUGGGUGACCUCCUGGGAAUUCCUAGUGUUGCACCCU